rnacentral:rRNA from 1 species
CCUACGGGGAGCAGCAGUGGGGAAUAUUGCACAAUGGGGGAAACCCUGAUGCAGCGACGCCGCGUGAGUGAAGAAGUAUUUCGGUAUGUAAAGCUCUAUCAGCAGGGAAGAAAAUGACGGUACCUGAUUAAGAAGCCCCGGCUAACUACGUGCCAGCAGCCGCGGUAAUACGUAGGGGGCAAGCGUUAUCCGGAUUUACUGGGUGGAAAGGGAGCGUAGACGGCAGCGCAAGUCUGACGUGAAAUGCCGGGGCUUAACCCCGGAACUGCUUGGGAAACUGGGCAGCUAGAGUGCAGGAGAGAUAAGUGGAAGUCCUAGUGUAGCGGUGAAAUGCGUAGAUAGUAGGAGGAACAACAGUGGCGAAGGCGGCUUACUGGACUGUAACUGACGUUGAGGCUCGACAGCGUGGGGAGCAAACAGGAUUAGAUACCCGAGUAGUC